rnacentral:snoRNA from 1 species
CUGGUUACAUGAUGAGUAAAAUCAAAUCACCAUCUUUCGGCUGAGCUCGUGAUGGAUUUGCUUUUUUCUGAUAAAGCUG